CCUCACCAGGUGUACACUACAGACCAUAUAUAACAUGGCCUCCCCUUCACCAGGGGUACACUACAGACCAUAUAUAACAUGGCCUCCCCCUCACCAGGGGUACACUACAGAUCCUGUUUGACUUCUGUAUAACAAACCAUUAAACCAUACAACUACAGCAUGUUCUGUACCCAGAGUUAUCUCUCUUGUUUUAUUCAACCAAUUAAAACAUCUUAUAGAAUUUGAUCCGAGAAGAACAUCAUGUAGUCGAUGAACUCGUAUUUCAUGAUCAAAAUAUCUAUGUUAUAGACUAGCAUUAUGGAUUUUGUUAUCAAUAUUUUGUCAUUAACGGAUUAUUUUGAAACAACCCAUAAUUUGUUUAGUCAAAGACUAUAGAAAUUAUUUAAUUUUGUAUCAACAAAAUCGCACAUUUUGUAAUUGCAAAUUUGCCAUAAAUAAAAUAGCGACGAAAAAUGAU